rnacentral:snRNA from 1 species
UUCCACGUCCACAUGGGUCCAGUUGGUCAACGCGAUCAUUGCUGGUUGAAAACUUUACCCAAUACCCCGCCAGGAUGACUUGAAAUACAGUCAGCCUUGGCAAUUUUUGCCAGCUUCUUUUGAAG